AAGUCGAGCGAAGCGGUUUCGAUGAAGUUUUCGGAUGGAUUUGAAAUCGACUUAGCGGCGGACGGGUGAGUAACGCGUGGGUAACCUGCCUUACACUGGGGGAUAACAGUUAGAAAUGACUGCUAAUACCGCAUAAGCGCACAGGGCCGCAUGGUCUGGUGUGAAAAACUCCGGUGGUGUAAGAUGGACCCGCGUCUGAUUAGGUAGUUGGUGGGGUAACGGCCCACCAAGCCGACGAUCAGUAGCCGACCUGAGAGGGUGACCGGCCACAUUGGGACUGAGACACGGCCCAAACUCCUACGGGAGGCAGCAGUGGGGAAUAUUGGACAAUGGGCGAAAGCCUGAUCCAGCGACGCCGCGUGAGUGAAGAAGUAUUUCGGUAUGUAAAGCUCUAUCAGCAGGGAAGAAAAUGACGGUACCUGACUAAGAAGCCCCGGCUAACUACGUGCCAGCAGCCGCGGUAAUACGUAGGGGGCAAGCGUUAUCCGGAUUUACUGGGUGUAAAGGGAGCGUAGACGGUUAAGCAAGUCUGAAGUGAAAGCCCGGGGCUCAACCCCGGUACUGCUUUGGAAACUGUUUGACUUGAGUGCAGGAGAGGUAAGUGGAAUUCCUAGUGUAGCGGUGAAAUGCGUAGAUAUUAGGAGGAACACCAGUGGCGAAGGCGGCUUACUGGACUGUA
rnacentral:rRNA from 1 species